AUGGAGAGUUUGAUCCUGGCUCAGGAUGAACGCUAGCGGGAGGCCUAACACAUGCAAGCCGAGCGGUAGAUUGCUUUCGGGCAAUUGAGAGCGGCGCACGGGUGCGGAACACGUGUGCAACCUGCCUUUAUCUGGGGGAUAGCCUUUCGAAAGGAAGAUUAAUACCCCAUAAUAUAAGAAACGGCAUCGUUUUUUAUUGAAAGCUCCGGCGGAUAAAGAUGGGCACGCGCAAGAUUAGAUAGUUGGUGAGGUAACGGCUCACCAAGUCAAUGAUCUUUAGGGGGCCUGAGAGGGUGAUCCCCCACACUGGUACUGAGACACGGACCAGACUCCUACGGGAGGCAGCAGUGAGGAAUAUUGGACAAUGGGUUAGCGCCUGAUCCAGCCAUCCCGCGUGAAGGACGACGGCCCUAUGGGUUGUAAACUUCUUUUGUACAGGGAUAAACCUACCCUCGUGAGGGUAGCUGAAGGUACUGUACGAAUAAGCACCGGCUAACUCCGUGCCAGCAGCCGCGGUAAUACGGAGGGUGCAAGCGUUAUCCGGAUUUAUUGGGUUUAAAGGGUCCGUAGGCGGAUCUGUAAGUCAGUGGUGAAAUCUCACAGCUUAACUGUGAAACUGCCAUUGAUACUGCAGGUCUUGAGUAAAUUUGAAGUGGCUGGAAUAAGUAGUGUAGCGGUGAAAUGCAUAGAUAUUACUUAGAACACCAAUUGCGAAGGCAGGUCACUAAGAUUUAACUGACGCUGAGGGACGAAAGCGUGGGGAGCGAACAGGAUUAGAUACCCUGGUAGUCCACGCCGUAAACGAUGCUAACUCGUUUUUGGGUUUUCGGAUUCAGAGACUAAGCGAAAGUGAUAAGUUAGCCACCUGGGGAGUACGUUCGCAAGAAUGAAACUCAAAGGAAUUGACGGGGGCCCGCACAAGCGGUGGAUUAUGUGGUUUAAUUCGAUGAUACGCGAGGAACCUUACCAAGACUUAAAUGGGAAAUGACAGAUUUAGAAAUAGAUCCUUCUUCGGACAUUUUUCAAGGUGCUGCAUGGUUGUCGUCAGCUCGUGCCGUGAGGUGUUAGGUUAAGUCCUGCAACGAGCGCAACCCCUGUCACUAGUUGCUACCAUUCAGUUGAGGACUCUAGUGAGACUGCCUACGCAAGUAGAGAGGAAGGUGGGGAUGACGUCAAAUCAUCACGGCCCUUACGUCUUGGGCCACACACGUAAUACAAUGGCCGGUACAGAGGGCAGCUACACAGCGAUGUGAUGCAAAUCUCGAAAGCCGGUCUCAGUUCGGAUUGGAGUCUGCAACUCGACUCUAUGAAGCUGGAAUCGCUAGUAAUCGCGCAUCAGCCAUGGCGCGGUGAAUACGUUCCCGGGCCUUGUACACACCGCCCGUCAAGCCAUGGAAGUCUGGGGUACCUGAAGUCGGUGACCGUAAAAGGAGCUGCCUAGGGUAAAACAGGUAACUAGGGCUAAGUCGUAACAAGGUAGCCGUACCGGAAGGUGCGGCUGGAACAUCUCAUU
rnacentral:rRNA from 1 species